rnacentral:lncRNA from 10 species
AUGAAUGGCGUGACUCAAUACUCGAAGGCAUUACCGGCUCUAACACACAGCCGCCCUUGCAGCAGUGCGCUCUGGAAAGCCGGAGUAUGGGCCCCCAGGGCACUGUUUGUAAAGACUGUUGGCCGGCACAAAAGACGGGCACAAAAGAUGCGCAGGCUGGAAGGGAGCGAGGUCAGAGGAAGGAGUACUGCCUGGAGAACCACGAGGGCUAAAAUUAGCUCAUUCAUCCCCUACGUACCAGGGGGCACCAUGCUGGGCGCUGGAUGUGCAGAAAUGAACAAACAGGCCGACUUCUGCUCUCGUGGAGCCUGGGAUCUAGUGUCUCUGACCGCAAACAGGCUUGAAAAAUUUGUGCAGUGUUCCAAAAGCAGAGUAAAGGAGGAAAGGCCAGGAAGUAUGGGAGAGAGCCAGGCAAGUGGUGAGAGCCAAGAGUUCAGAAAAUACUCAAACAAUAGGAGAACUAAAAACAACAACAAGAAAGUAAACCUCAAAAUACAUUUAAUCAAAAGUAAGAGAAAAAAGAAACCCAAGAAAAUCCCAGAUUUCUUUUAAGUGCUGCCAAAAGCAGAGCUGAACAGGAAGCCCAUGUUGUUUCUUCAG